AAUGCACCAACUUCUAAGUCGCUCUGGAUAAGAGCGUCUGCUAAAUGAUGGAAA
rfam:Salmo salar isolate Sally breed double haploid chromosome ssa04, whole genome shotgun sequence.